UUUCGUUUUCCCUCUUCUUCUCUGCCCAAAAUAUCCUUUAUCUCCGCCUCUCUCCCCUGAUUUCUCUCUUUAUUCUCUACUUCUCUUCUUUUCUUGCUUGAAUGAAAGCUUUCAUUGCCAUUCUCAGUUAUUAGGGUUUCGAUUUGAAGGUUUAAUUGUAGGCUUCUCAAUACACUUUCUCUGUCUCAAUCUUAUUCAAUUUUAGGGUUUUUUAAAAGGAGGCUCCUUUCUCUUAAGCCCCCUCUAUACCCUUCCCUUUUACUCACAGAUCUGUGUAUCUAUCUCUUUAGAUGGGUAAAUAUUCCAAGAAAUCAGCUUCUAAGGUGAAAGUAGCUCCAGCUGUUGUUGCUACUACGCCAUUGAAGAAAGCUUUGUGAAAUGAAUUCAUCAGAGCUCUUGCAGAUGCGGAAUCAUCGAAACAGGUUUUGUUUGUUGACUAAAAUCCAAACACAUGGUUCUUUCAAUAUAUUGGUGACUGAAGCUAUACAAAUUGGUGCCAGGGCUAUAAAGGAGAAUAGCACAAGUGUAGAUGGAGUUCGACGCUGAACUUUCUAAUAAAAUAUAGUUAUAUAUAUAUUAUGUAAUUUAAUUCCCAUAAUUAUUUGCAUUUUGCACUAAUUUAGAUUUUUAUUUAAUAUAUUUUCACGUUUUAUUAUAGAAAACAAGGAAUAAUAAUUUGAGAUGGAUUAGGGGAAAAAUAGAUAUUUUGGAGUUAAAUUCUACGGAAAUUCAAAUUUAUUGUGCUAUACCCAAUUUCUAAAUUUGUCUUUGCACUGGUCUUGUGGCUGUUUUGGUUUCUUCUAUGUUUAUCUGAAAUUAUAACUUUUGUUGUAUUUCCUACUAGUUCUUAUUUGUACAACUUACUGAAUUUUACAUAUCUUUUGCCACUUUAUUUACCAUUUUCUUGCUGAAACCUCGCUCAAUAAAGUUGUUUAUUUAUGAUGACACACUAAAAACUACUUGCCGAAUGUACCUCACUUUUUGCGCAAUCUUAUCCAUUCCAUUGAUAUAGUCUGAUAUAAGUGAGAAAUUUGGAGCAUCUGUCAGAAGUACAAGUGCUUUGUUUAACUGUAACAUUAGUGUUUGACUGACUGUUCUAGCUAGUCGUGGAAUGAAUUCAUACAAAUCUUUUUUUCAAGGUUCAAAUACAUUAUUUCAGGGGAUUAAAGAAUGUUUUAUGGGAUUUGGGUUAAUGGCUGCAAGUUGUGUUAUGGGAUUCAAACCUUAGGCCAGACAUAUAUUCUUGCUGAUCUACUAUAUCUAUUGCACGAGAACUUCACAAUUUGAUAGAGCAAAUUUGUUCUAUGUAUAAUGAUAUUUUUACCCUCUGCGCCCCUUUGCUUCCAAUCCCUCCCUUCCCUGUGAACUGCCUUUGCGACCUCCAUGACUCUUUAGCUCCCUCUUCCGCCGAAAUAUUGAUCCUACCCUGGAUUAUGCAUCGUUUCAGUUCUGAUUCCCUC